AUGAACGCUAGCGGCAGGCUUAACACAUGCAAGUCGAGGGGUAGAAGCAGCUUGCUGCUUUGAGACCGGCGCACGGGUGCGUAACGCGUAUGCAAUCUACCUUUUACAGAGGGAUAGCCCAGAGAAAUUUGGAUUAAUACCUCAUAGUAUGUGAGAAUCGCAUGGUUUUCACAUUAAAGUUCCAACGGUAAAAAGAUGAGCAUGCGUCCCAUUAGCUAGAUGGUAAGGUAACGGCUUACCAUGGCGACGAUGGGUAGGGGGUCCUGAGAGGGAGAUCCCCCACACUGGUACUGAGACACGGACCAGACUCCUACGGGAGGCAGCAGUGAGGAAUAUUGGACAAUGGGCGCAAGCCUGAUCCAGCCAUGCCGCGUGCAGGAUGACGGUCCUAUGGAUUGUAAACUGCUUUUGUACAGGAAGAAACACUCCCUCGUGAGGGAGCUUGACGGUACUGUAAGAAUAAGGAUCGGCUAACUCCGUG
rnacentral:rRNA from 1 species